GGACAACCUGCCCUAAGGUCUGGAAUAACCCCGGGAAACUGGGGAUAAUACCGGAUAAAUCAUAGAUGCUGGAAUGCUCUGUGAUUAAAAGCUCCGGCGCCUUAGGAUGGAUCUGCGGCCUAUCAGGUAGUAGUGGGUGUAAUGUACCUACUAGCCGACGACGGGUACGGGUUGUGAGAGCAAGAGCCCGGAGAUGGAUUCUGAGACAUGAAUCCAGGCCCUACGGGGCGCAGCAGGCGCGAAAACUUUACAAUGCGGGAAACCGCGAUAAGGGGACACUGAGUGCCAGCACCAUGUGUUGGCUGUCCGCAUGUAUAAAUAACAUGUGUUAGCAAGGGCCGGGCAAGACCGGUGCCAGCCGCCGCGGUAACACCGGCGGCCCGAGUGGUGGCCAUUAUUAUUGGGUCUAAAGGGUCCGUAGCCGGUUUGAUCAGUCUUCCGGGAAAUCUGACAGCUCAACUGUUAGGCUUCUGGGGGAUACUGUCAGACUUGGAACCGGGAGAGGUAAGAGGUACUACAGGGGUAGGAGUGAAAUCUUGUAAUCCUUGUGGGACCACCAGUGGCGAAGGCGUCUUACCAGAACGGGUUCGACGGUGAGGGACGAAAGCUGGGGGCACGAACCGGAUUAGAUACCCGGGUAGUCCCAGCCGUAAACGAUGCUCGCUAGGUGUCUGGGACGGUGCGACCGUUUCAGGUGCCGCAGGGAAGCCGUGAAGCGAGCCACCUGGGAAGUACGGCCGCAAGGCUGAAACUUAA
rnacentral:rRNA from 1 species